AGCAUACUCCCUCCGUCCGAAAAUACUUGUCAUUAAAAUGGAUAUAUCUAGAUGUAUUUUAGUUCUAGAUACAUCCAUUUUUAUCUAUUUUGAUGACAAGUAUUUCCGGACGAAGGGAGUACUAG
rnacentral:pre_miRNA from 1 species